rnacentral:lncRNA from 1 species
UGCUUCUUUCAUGCUUGAUAUUAAGAAUUUAUUAUCGUUGUUUAGUAAAUUGCUUCUUUUAUGCUUGAUAUUUAGAAAUUCUUGUGCCUAGUCAUGUGCUUCCAUCUUCCCCUAAGUUCGUUCAACCCCAUUGCCAUCAACCUAUGGUAACAUAGUUACGAUGGCAUGAUAGCCUUUGGUCGUCCUCUAAAUACCACCCUUAUCCCUAGAAUCUGUCAUAUUAUGAGUCAUUGUGUUUUUUUCUUACCCUAGAAGUCUUCCAAUGACACCUUUCUUUUUUUCGCUACAAAUAUUUACCUCAUUUCUCCUCAAAUAAAGAAGAAUUGCAUCAUUUCCAAUAGCAUAGGGUCCAUUCCAAUCAUAACUUUUCAGCCAUUUUUUUCUUACACAUCUUUAGUGUCAUAUUUUAUAUGGAUAUUGAGGGAGAUAUAUUAAGACAUUGUUGUAGCAUUUUCCCCAAUAUAUAUGAAAAUAAUGUUGAGGUACUUCAACACUCACAUACCAGGGGACUGAUGGAGAUGUUUUUUUUUUUGACAAGUGAUGGAGAUGUUGUUUACUUACAUCUUUGGCAUGUACCAUGAUCCAUGGUUUUAAUUAACUAGAGAGAGUUUAUACUAAGUCGUUGUUACUUUUGACACUAUGCCAGCUACGACCACUAUAUUGCGCUUUAGCACCAUUAAAUUAUUGCUUAGCUGUAGCUUUGAAAUAACGAGUCUAUUUCAAUUCCAGCUGCAACAGUGCCGAUCUAGUUAUUACCUGCACCUACCUUUUGCUACA